CCUACGGGUGGCUGCAGUGAGGAAUAUUGGUCAAUGGGCGAGCGUCUGAACCAGCCAAGUCGCGUGAAGGAUGACUGCCCUAUGGGUUGUAAACUUCUUUUGUAUGGGAGUAAAAUGUUCCACGUGUGGCGUUUUGUAUGUACCAUAUAGAUAAGGCACGGCCUAAUCCCGUCCCAGCGCCGCGGGAAUACGGGGGAUCGGAGCGGUAACCGGGUUUAGUGGGUUUAAAGGGAGCGUAGGUGGAUUGUUAAGGCAGUUGGUAAAGUUGUCGGGCCAACCGUAAAAUUGCAGUUGAAACUGGCAGUCUUGAGUAGAGUAGAGGUGGGCGGAAUGCGUGGUGUAGCGGUGAAAUGCUUAGAUAUCACGAAGAACUCCGAUUGCGAAGGCAGCAUACUGG
rnacentral:rRNA from 1 species